UCGGCUAACUCCGUGCCAGCAGCCGCGGUAAUACGGAGGAUGCGAGCGUUAUCCGGAUUUAUUGGGUUUAAAGGGUGCGUAGGCUGACAUGUAAGUCAGUGGUGAAAGACCCCGGCUUAACCGGGGGGUUGCCAUUGAAACUGUAUGUCUUGAGUGUAAUCGAAGUGGGCGGAAUGAGGGGUGUAGCGGUGAAAUGCAUAGAUAUUCCUCAGAACACCGAUAGCGAAGGCAGCUCACUAGCUUACAACUGACGCUGAGGCACGAAAGCGUGGGUAUCAAACAGGAUUAGAUACCCUGGUAGUCCACGCUGUAAACGAUGAUCACUAGCUGUUUGCGAUACACAGUAAGCGGCUAAGCGAAAGCGAUAAGUGAUCCACCUGGGGAGUACGUCGGCAACGAUGAAACUCAAAGGAAUUGACGGGGGCCCGCACAAGCGGAGGAGCAUGUGGUUUAAUUCGAUGAUACGCGAGGAACCUUACCUGGGCUUGAACGUAUGGUGCAUGGGUGUGAAAGCAUCCUUUCUUCGGACUCCAUACGAGGUGCUGCAUGGCUGUCGUCAGCUCGUGCCGUGAGGUGUUAGGUUAAGUCCUGCAACGAGCGCAACCCCUGUUUCCAGUUGCCAUCACGUAAAGGUGGGGACUCUGGAGAGACUGCCUACGCAAGUAGAGAGGAAGGUGGGGAUGACGUCAAGUCAGCACGGCCCUUACGUCCAGGGCUACACACGUGCUACAAUGGUCGGUACAGAGGGCAGCUAGGUAGCGAUACCAUGCUAAUCCCCAAAGCCGGCCUAAGUUCGGAUCGGAGUCUGCAACCCGACUUCGUGAAGCUGGAUUCGCUAGUAAUCGUAUAUCAGCCAUGAUACGGUGAAUACGUUCCCGGGCCUUGUACACACCGCCCGUCAAGCCAUGGAAGUCAGGGGUACCUGAAGUCGGUAACCGAAAGGAUCCGCCUAGGGUAAACCUGAUGACUGGGGCU
rnacentral:rRNA from 1 species